UGGGGAAUAUUGCACAAUGGGGGAAACCCUGAUGCAGCGACGCCGCGUGAACGAAGAAGGUAUUCGUAUCGUAAAGUUCUGUCCUAUGGGAAGAUAAUGACAGUACCAUAGAAGAAAGCUCCGGCUAAAUACGUACCAGCAGCCGCGGUAAUACGUAUGGAGCGAGCGUUGUCCGGAAUUAUUGGGCGUAAAGGGUACGCAGGCGGUUUAAUAAGUCGAAUGUUAAAGAUCGGGGCUCAACCCCGCAAAGCAUUGGAAACUGAUAAACUUGAGUAGUGGAGAGGAAAGUGGAAUUCCUAGUGUAGUGGUGAAAUACGUAGAUAUUAGGAGGAAUACCAGUAGCGAAGGCGACUUUCUGGACACAAACUGACGCUGAGGUACGAAAGCGUGGGGAGCAAACAGG
rnacentral:rRNA from 1 species